UCACAGAAGAUCUUAUUAGACGGAAUGCUGAACACAACGACUGUGUCAUUUUUUCCCUGGAGGAACUCUCGUUGCAUCAGCAAGAAAUAGAAAGACUAGAACACAUUGAUAAAUGGUGCCGGGAUUUAAAAAUUCUCUAUCUUCAAAAUAAUCUUAUUGGGAAAAUUGAAAAUGUUAGCAAACUCAAGAAACUUGAAUAUUUGAAUUUAGCUUUAAACAACAUUGAAAAAAUAGAAAACUUGGAAGGAUGUGAAGAGCUGGCAAAACUUGACCUGACUGUGAAUUUCAUUGGAGAGCUGAGCAGCAUUAAAAACUUGCAGCACAAUAUCCAUCUGAAGGAGCUCUUUCUCAUGGGGAACCCAUGUGCUUCCUUUGACCACUAUAGGGAGUUCGUGGUAGCAACUCUUCCACAAUUAAAGUGGUUGGAUGGUAAAGAAAUAGAGCCUUCAGAAAGGAUUAAGGCAUUGCAGGACUAUUCAGUAAUUGAACCACAAAUCAGAGAGCAGGAAAAAGAUCACUGUCUUAAACGAGCCAAACUCAAGGAAGAGGCUCAGAGGAAACACCAAGAAGAGGAUAAAAAUGAAGACAAGAGAAGUAACGCAGGCUUUGAUGGACGUUGGUACACAGACAUCAAUGCUACUCUUUCCUCUUUAGAGAGCAAAGACCACCUACAGGCACCAGACACAGAGGAACACAACACAAAGAAAUUAGACAACAGUGAAGAUGACUUGGAAUUCUGGAAUAAGCCCUGUUUGUUUACUCCUGAAUCAAGAUUGGAAACUCUUAGACACAUGGAAAAACAACGGAAGAAACAGGAAAAAUUAAGUGAAAAAAAGAAGAAAGUGAAACCACCCAGGACUUUGAUCACUGAAGAUGGGAAAGCCCUAAAUGUGAAUGAGCCCAA
rnacentral:circRNA from 1 species